rnacentral:rRNA from 1 species
AACGAACGCUGGCGGCAUGCCUAACACAUGCAAGUCGAACGAGACCUUCGGGACUAGUGGCGCACGGGUGCGUAACGCGUGGGAACCUGCCCUUAGGCACGGAAUAACUCCCCGAAAGGGGUGCUAAUACCGGAUAAUGUCUUCGGACAAAAGAUUGAUCGCCCUUGUAUGGGCCCGCGUUGGUUUAGCAAGUGGGUAGGGUAAAAGCCUACCAAGGCGACGAUCCAUAGCUGGUCUGAGAGGAUGAGCAGCCACACUUGGACUGGGACACGGCCCAGACUCCUACGGGAGGCAGCAGUGGGUAAUAUUGGACAAUGGGCGAAAGCCUGAUGCAGCAAUGCCGCGUGAGUGAUGAAGGCCUUAGGGUUGUAAAGCUCUUUUACCCGGGAUGAUAAUGACAGUACCGGGAGAAUAAGCUCCGGCUAACUCCGUG